GCAUAUCAAUAAGCGGAGGAAAAGAAACUAACAAGGAUUCCCCUAGUAGCGGCGAGCGAAGCGGGAAGAGCUCAAAUUUGUAAUCUGGCGUCCUCCGGGCGUCCGAGUUGUAAUCUAUAGAGACGUUUUCCGUGCCGGACCGUGUCCAAGUCCCUUGGAACAGGGUAUCAAAGAGGGUGACAAUCCCGUACUUGACACGACGACCGGUGCUCUGUGAUACGUUUUCUACGAGUCGAGUUGUUUGGGAAUGCAGCUCAAAAUGGGUGGUAAAUUCCAUCUAAAGCUAAAUAUAGGCGAGAGACCGAUAGCGAACAAGUACCGUGAGGGAAAGAUGAAAAGCACUUUGGAAAGAGAGUUAAACAGUAUGUGAAAUUGUUGAAAGGGAAACGAUUGAAGUCAGUCAUGUCCAUUGGAUUCAGCUGGUUCUGCCAGUGUAUUUCCUUUGGACGGGUCAACAUCAGUUUGAGCCGGCGGAUAAUGGCAGAGGGAAUGUGGCACCCCCGGGUGUGUUAUAGCCCUUUGUCGCAUACGUCGGCCCAGACUGAGGAAUGCAGCUCGCCUUUAUGGCCGGGGUUCGCCCACGUACGAGCUUAGGAUGUUGGCAUAAUGGCUUUAAACGACCCGUCUUGAAACACGGAC
rnacentral:rRNA from 1 species